AACGAACGCUGGCGGCAUGCCUAACACAUGCAAGUCGAACGAGACCUUCGGGUCUAGUGGCGCACGGGUGCGUAACGCGUGGGAACCUGCCCUUAGGUUCGGAAUAACUCCCCGAAAGGGGUGCUAAUACCGGAUAAUGUCUUCGGACCAAAGAUUUAUCGCCUUUGGAUGGGCCCGCGUUGGAUUAGCUAGUUGGUAGGGUAAAAGCCUACCAAGGCGACGAUCCAUAGCUGGUCUGAGAGGAUGAUCAGCCACACUGGGACUGAGACACGGCCCAGACUCCUACGGGAGGCAGCAGUGGGGAAUAUUGGACAAUGGGCGAAAGCAUGAUCCAGCAAUGCCGCGUGAGUGAUGAAGGCCUGAGGGUUGUAAAGCUCUUUUACCCGGGAUGAUAAUGACAGUACCGGGAGAAUAAGCUCCGGCUAACUCCGUG
rnacentral:rRNA from 1 species